rnacentral:rRNA from 1 species
UACGUAGGUGGCAAGCGUUGUCCGGAAUUAUUGGGCGUAAAGCGCGCGCAGGCGGCCUCUUAAGUCUGAUGUGAAAGCCCCCGGCUCAACCGGGGAGGGCCAUUGGAAACUGGGAGGCUUGAGUAUAGGAGAGAAGAGUGGAAUUCCACGUGUAGCGGUGAAAUGCGUAGAGAUGUGGAGGAACACCAGUGGCGAAGGCGACUCUUUGGCCUAUAACUGACGCUGAGGCGCGAAAGCGUUGGGGAGCAAACAGG